rfam:Schistosoma mattheei strain Denwood, Zambia genome assembly, scaffold: SMTD_contig0009995
CUGCAUCAGAAAAAGAGAGAUGGUUGGCAGUCCCCUGCACAAGGUCAGAUAGGGCAUCUGAUGCCCACUCUCCUGAUUCAUGGAACAUCCGCUACUUUCGGAUGGCCUUUUUCCCAAUUACAU